AAACUGUGAUAAGUAGUGUGAAUUGCAUUUAGUGAAUCAUCGAAUCUUUGAACGCACCCUGCACUCACUGGUAUUCCGGUGAGUACGCCUGUUUCAGUAUCAUUGAAAACACACAAUCAAAACAUUUUCUUUGGUUUGAUUGGCUUUGGGUCUAUCAAAAAGUUUGGCUUGUUUCUUACAAGCCAAGCGGCCUGAAAUAUAUUGUCUGGCUAAUUGCAUCGUUGAUGAUCGCUAUUAGACUUUGGCUUUUUUAAAUGAACUGGAGGUUGAUUAACCAGUUUUAGCUUUAGUCAAAUGGUCAUUGUAAAAAAAAUCUCGAUCUUGGCUAGGUGUUUAUAGCCGAAAAUUUUUUUUUGGCUAUAACCGAAACCAAUAUAAUCACAUUUAGUUAUCGAUCUGAAAUCAGGUGGGACUACCCGCUGAACUUAAGC
rnacentral:misc_RNA from 1 species